GUAAAAAUUCAGCAUCGACAUCGCCGACUGGUACGGGCUGGCCUUGCGGCGAUGGCUGCGCUCCGCCGAGCGCUUCAACGAACGCGCGAUGGCGACAGGACUCCGCUGCUUGAACAGAUGAUGCUUGAGAUCGAGCGCAUCGUGACACGGCCCGACCAUUUACGGACGGAACGCUUGGCCGACGUGCGCCUCUUACCUGCCUUCCUU
rnacentral:misc_RNA from 1 species